rnacentral:rRNA from 1 species
AGAUUGAACGCUGGCGGCAGGCCUAACACAUGCAAGUCGAGCGGUAGAGAGGUGCUUGCACCUCUUGAGAGCGGCGGACGGGUGAGUAAUGCCUAGGAAUCUGCCUAGUGGUGGGGGAUAACGUUCGGAAACGGACGCUAAUACCGCAUACGUCCUACGGGAGAAAGCGGGGGACCUUCGGGCCUCGCGCCAUUAGAUGAGCCUAGGUCGGAUUAGCUAGUUGGUGAGGUAAUGGCUCACCAAGGCGACGAUCCGUAACUGGUCUGAGAGGAUGAUCAGUCACACUGGAACUGAGACACGGUCAGACUCCUACGGGAGCAGCAGUGGGAAUAUUGGACAAUGGGACGAAAGCCUGAUCCAGCCAAUGCCGCGUGUGUGAAGAGGUCGUCGGAUUGAAAGUCUACUUUAACGGUUGGAGGUAAGGUUGUAACUUAAGUACGUUGACAAACGUUUUGAACGUUACCGACUAGAACUUAA